rnacentral:rRNA from 1 species
UACGGGGGGAGCAAACGUUGUUCGGAAUCACUGGGCGUAAAGGGCGUGUAGGCGGCUGAAUAAGUGGGGUGUUAAAUCUCCCGGCUCAACUGGGAGGGUGCGCCGAAAACUGCAAGGCUGGAGUGUGGGAGAGGUAGGCGGAAUUCCUGGUGUAGCGGUGAAAUGCGUAGAUAUCAGGAGGAACACCUGUGGUGUAGACGGCUUACUGGACCAUGACUGACGCUGAGGCACGAAAGCGUGGGGAGCAAACAGG